rnacentral:rRNA from 1 species
GUGCCAGCUGCCGCGGUAAUACGGAGGAUGCAAGCUUUAUCCGGAUUUAUUGGGUUUAAAGGGUGCGUAGGCGGUUUGCUAAGCGGGAGGUGAAAUGCCGGCGCUCAACGUCGGAAGUGCCUCCCGAACUGGUGGACUGGAAUGACUCUGCCGUGGGAGGAAUGUGUAGUGUAGCGGUGAAAUGCUUAGAGAUUACACAGAACACCGAUUGCGAAGGCAUCUCACGAAGGGUUGAUUGACGCUGAGGCACGAAAGCGUGGGGAUCAAACAGGAUUAGAUACCCUGGUAGUCCACGCAGUAAACGAUGAUGGCUAACCGCUGGGCUUAUCAGUUCAGUGGCCAAGCGAAAGCGAUAAGCCAUCCACCUGGGGAGUACGACCGCAAGGUUGAAACUCAAAGGAAUUGACGGGGGCCCGCACAAGCGGAGGAACAUGUGGUUUAAUUCGAUGAUACGCGAGGAACCUUACCCGGGCUCGAACGGCAGAGGAAGGACCCAGAGAUGGGAACGCUUCGGGGCUUCUGUCGAGGUGCUGCAUGGUUGUCGUCAGCUCGUGCCGUGAGGUGUCGGCUCAAGUGCCAUAACGAGCGCAACCCUUGCCGUCAGUUACCAUCAAGUGAUGUUGGGGACUCUGGCGGGACUGCCACCGCAAGGUGUGAGGAAGGGGGGGAUGACGUCAAAUCAGCACGGCCCUUACGUCCGGGGCGACACACGUGUUACAAUGGCGGCCACAGAGGGGCACUACUGGCGACAGGAUGGGAAUCUCGAAAAGCCGUCUCAGUCCGGAUCGGAGUCUGCAACCCGACUCCGUGAAGCUGGAUUCGCUAGUAAUCGCGCAUCAGCCAUGGCGCGGUGAAUACGUUCCCGGGCCUUGUACACACCGCCCGU